rnacentral:rRNA from 1 species
GAUCCUGGCUCAGGAUGAACGCUAGCGACAGGCCUAACACAUGCAAGUCGAGGGGCAGCGGAGAGGUAGCAAUACCUUUGCCGGCGACCGGCGCACGGGUGAGUAACACGUAUGUAAUCCACCUGUAACAGGAGGAUAACCCGGAGAAAUCCGGACUAAUACCCCAUAAUAUGGGCGCUCCGCAUGGAGAGCCCAUUAAAGNGAGCAAUUUUGGUUACAGACGAGCAUGCGCUCCAUUA